CAGGUAAAAUUCUCCCUUAAAUAGGAUUCUCAUUAUUGUUCUUUUAGGAUCCGAGAGUUAUUUUAUUUGGGUAUCGAAUUGUGAUUGUCACAUUGUCACAGAUCAGCAGUGACUUGUGCAUAAUGAAUUACUGUUCUUUCUUACAGGUUGCAAGUAAACCUCUAAUGAUUGUAGGGUCUAAUUAGCAACAGUGUCAACUCUUUUAACUAGAAAUAAUUGAUUAAAAACUUUCACUGUGAGAGGUAGGAAGAAGCAGGCUGUCUUUCUUUGUCUCUUCUUGAGCUCGAGGAAACUCCCUAGCACCCCUAAAGCAAACCUCAUUGCUCAAGGUGCAGCUCAGGUUUAGCCCCACAGCACUCCCUGGACGUGGAAUCUUCAGGAAUGGUUUAAACCUCACCAUGUGCUCUCUGAGGGCAGACAAGAAUGCCUGCUUCCUUAAGCGUGCAGAAUAGUAAACACUCCCCAAAUUGAACUUAUUCAGAGGAUGAAUAAUAUAGAGGGGAAAAAAUCUAAUUGCUGGGCAACUCAGUAUCCCCACCAGUUCGAAUCUGGGUUUUCUGCCUUCAAUUUCCAUGCUCAUUUCAUUUCCCAAUUAUGUCUCCCUUUUAGCUCCACCCAUUCCUAAGAAACACCCAAUUUAAAAAAAGCACUGGAGCUCACGUGUCACUGGAUGAGAAAAGAAACUCUGUGUCACAGCAUGUAAUUCUGAACUAUAUGAUUUUCCUAAAGGUCUUGGACUUCAGGUGAAAGACGUUCUGUCAGCCAGGAUUCAGGAACAUCCCUCAGGAAGAGAGAGCUACCUGCUGCUUUGUCUGUGUAUUGUGCCCAGAGAGAGAAAUAUGUAAUCAGACAGAAAAGAAAAGUGUCUGGGGGGCUCAAGUUUGAGUUGAAACCAGGCUCAGGGUCCACCUGUCCUCGCUGAUCCGUGGAUUUCUGUGUGACCAGCUGACACCUAUGGAGCUGUGGCCCUGACUACUACCAGCUUGCUCAUCCCUCUACUCACACAGUCACCCCUCCCCUCACUCUCAUUUAUGCUUCACCUGUGAAUGGUGGUCCUGGGACAGCCACUGCUGGAGCCCGGGUGAGCCUGGGGGCUCCUCCCACUCUGUCCCUCCCUGAGACAGCCCUCGCCACAGCUCCCGAGCCGGCCACCACGUCCCUGCAUACUUGAUCAUCACCUGUGCCACCAGAAGCCACCACAGCUUUGGGACACAACCUGAAGACCCUCACAGUCACCUUCCCCAUCUCCACCCUCCAGUAUUCAUCAGACAGGAGCAAUGGCUCAGCCACGUUCCACUCCACUGAGAGGGUCCUGCAGAGCCUGGGGAGACCCUGGUCCCAGCAGCUCCUGGUGGGUUAAAUCCCACCCAGCCCCUCCCCCAACCCCUGUCCCUCCUGCUCCUCCUCCUCCUCCUUCCUCCCCAGCUGGAUCCUUGUUCAAGAAGAGCAGC